rnacentral:rRNA from 1 species
UCUUGCAAACUAAAGAUGGCGACCGGCGCACGGGUGAGUAACACGUAUCCAACCUGCCGAUAACUCGGGGAUAGCCUUUCGAAAGAAAGAUUAAUAUCCGAUAGUAUAUUAAAACCGCAUGGUUUUACUAUUAAAGAAUUUCGGUUAUCGAUGGGGAUGCGUUCCAUUAGUUUGUUAGCGGGGUAACGGCCCACCAAGACUACGAUGGAUAGGGGUUCUGAGAGGAAGGUCCCCCACAUUGGAACUGAGACACGGUCCAA